GCACCGCCCGCUGCGAGUGGCGUCUUCCUCCGCCAGCCAUGGCGGUGCCCGCCGGGCCGGCGCGGCUCGUGCGCUGCGGGCAGAAGGACGAGCUGUACCGGAGCGGGCUGCGGAGCGGGGCCGGCGCCGCGCUGCACGGGCUGGCAGGUGCCAAGAAGUGGCUGGAAUGGAGGAAGGAAAUAGAAUUGCUUUCUGAUGUAGCCUACUUCGUCCUCACCACUCUGUCAGGUUAUCAGACUCUGGGUGAAGAGUAUGUUAACAUUGUUCAAGUUGACUCAACCAAGAAAAGGGUACCUUCUUUUCUCCGCCGGGCCAUCUUCGUUUCCCUUCAUACUGUAGUACCCUAUUGCUUAGAAAAGGGAUUACUGCAUCUGGAACACGAGCUGCAGAUAGAAGCUGAUGAGUCCAGAGCCUUGCAGAGAAGCCCAGCACUUGGCUUGCCCAGCAGGACCUUAAUACGAAGCUGGAUACAGAAACAAGUUGGGGAGCUUACAGAGCAGCAGAAGAAGAGAGUCUUACAAGUUGUGUAUGUUCUUAAACACUGUGUGCCUUUGCUUCAUCGGCUGCACCUGGCAGUGUUCUACAUAAGCGGCACUUUUUAUCACCUGUCUAAAAGAAUCACCGGAAUCAGAUAUCUGCAUUUUGGAGGACUGCAAGGAGAAGAUCGGAGUAUUCGAUCAAGUUACAAGUUUCUUGGAAUAAUUUCCCUCUUCCAUCUUCUUCUAACAAUUGGUGUUCAGAUGUACAGCUUCAAACAGAGGCAGAGAGCAAGACAGGAAUGGAAACUACACCGCAACCUGGCUCAUCCCAAAAACAUGACCAAGGAAAAAACCCCUGGGCGCCACUCCCACUGCACUUUAUGUUUGGAAGAACGGAGACAUACAACAGCCACACCCUGUGGCCACCUCUUCUGCUGGGAAUGCAUCACGGAGUGGUGUAACACCAGAACAGAAUGUCCACUGUGCAGAGAGAAGUUUCAUCCUCAGAAACUGAUCUACCUACGUCACUAUCAACUGUGAAGAGAAAAGCGAUUUUGUUUCACGACAAGGGCCUCAGCUCUCAUACCCUUCAUAAAGUUGUCAUAGAGCUUGAGUUAGUCUAAGAAAGACUUCAUUAUAAAACUGGGUUACUGAAGGCUGAAUUCCAGAGCUCCAUAAUGACUUCAUUUCACAAAACUGGAUGAAAGGGCACCUACAUUUUCCAAUUAGAUGUCUGUUGAAGUUGAGACUAUUCUCCAUUCAGAAUCUUCAAAGAGCCAAUCCGUUCCUACUUUCUGCAAGUGAAUACUCCCGGGAGAGUUGAAAAAGGUAUUGCAUAAAAAGAAGAUUGAGGGUGACCAUUAUUGAAAAGCAACCAUAAAUAUUGUUAGAUCAAUAGAUGCAUAUAAAGAUAGAGAACAAGUAAAGGGGGACACUGUCUUUUAAUAAAUUUUGGAAUUAAAAAGUCACUUAAUAAAACUGCAGUUGUAUCACA